rnacentral:rRNA from 1 species
GCACAAGUAGAGUGAUCGAAAGAUGAAAAGCACUUUGGANAGAGAGUCAAAAAGUACGUGAAAUUGUUGAAAGGGAAGCGCUUGCAACCAGACCUGUCCGCAGGUGAUCAGCCGCCGUUCUCGGUGGUGCACUCGCCUGCGAUCAGGCCAGCAUCGGUUCGGGCGGUCGGAUAAAGGCCUUGGGAAUGUAGCUCCUCUCGGGGAGUCUUAUAGCCCUCGGUGCAAUGCGGCCAGCCCGGACCGAGGACCGCGCUUCGGCUAGGAUGCUGGCGUAAUGGUUGUAAGCGACCCGUCUUGAAACACGGACCAAGGAGUCUAACAUCUAUGCGAGUGUUUGGGUGUCAAACCCAUGCGCGGAAUGAAAGUGAACGGAGGUGAGAACCCUUUAGGGCGCAUCAUCGACCGAUCCAGAUGUCUUCGGAUGGAUUUGAGUAUGAGCAUAGCUGUUGGGACCCGAAAGAUGGUGAACUAUGCCUGAAUAGGGUGAAGCCAGAGGAAACUC